UACAGAGGUCUCGAGCGUUGUUCGGAUUCAUUGGGCGUAAAGGGUGCGUAGGUGGCGUCGUAAGUCAGGUGUGAAAUCUCGGGGCUCAACCCCGAAACUGCACUUGAUACUGCGAUGCUUGAGUACUGGAGAGGAGAUUGGAAUUUACGGUGUAGCAGUGAAAUGCGUAGAGAUCGUGAGGAAGACCCGUGGCGAAGGCGGAUCUCUGGACGGCUAACUGACGCUGAGGCGCGAAGGCCAGGGGAGCAAACGGG
rnacentral:rRNA from 1 species